GAGAUCUGGAUGGUUGUACAUAUAUAAAUAUUUAUUAACAUGUCAUAUGUUUUUACAAAACAUAUAUAAGCGCUUUCAUCUGCUCUAAUAGAUUCUUCAGAUUUAAAUUUUGUGAAGGGAUUUGUCUCUUUUUAUAGUAUUAGUGAAUGGGUUGGGGUGGAAAGAGAGAGGUGGGAAAAAAGUGUAAUGUGGAGUGUAUAGGGUAGGAAGAGAGAGAGAGAGAAA